rnacentral:rRNA from 1 species
UACGGAGGGGGCGAGCGUUAAUCGGAUUUACUGGGCGUAAAGCGUGCGCAGGCGGCCCGUUAAGACAGGUGUGAAAUCCCUGGGCUCAACCUAGGAAUUGCGCUUGUGACUGGCGGGCUCGAGUACGGUAGAGGGGGGUGGAAUUCCUGGUGUAGCAGUGAAAUGCGUAGAGAUCAGGAGGAACACCGAUGGCGAAGGCAGCCUCCUGGGCCUGUACUGACGCUCAUGCACGAAAGCGUGGGGAGCAAACAGG